AGGCUCAGAGAUCUGGAGGCCAUGGUGGCGGUGGAGCGAUCCGGCCAGCAGGAGGCGCUCUGCAGCCUGAAAGCUGCUCAGAGAUCAGUUCAUGGAGGAGAGAGAGAGGAGGGACGCUACUGAGCGCGCUCUGCAGCGGCUGCAGACGGAGUUCGAUCAGUGUCGGUCCUGAUGCGAGCGUUGCCAUGGAAACGCAGAAGAAAGAUGGCGUCCGACCUUUCAGAGCAGCUGGAGGACGAGAAGAGACGACACGCCGACACUCAGUCGCUGCUGCAGCAGGCAGCUCAGAGUCGCAGUGAAGCAGACGAAGCCUUCGUUGGCUCCAUGAAUCAGAUCAGAGAGCUCCUGAAACAACACGGCAGCUCAGGUGAGCCAGCAGAGGAUGCUGGGAGUCGAGUCUUUCUGCUGAAGUCCUGCAGCUGCUGAGGACGACGCUCAGCUCUGACCAACGCAGACUGCAGGAAGCCGACCAAAAGGUUCAGGAUCUGCUGUUUGCAUCACAGAAGCUGCAGGAUGAGAAUCAGAUGCUUCGACUGCUGGCAUCAGAUCAGAAGAGUCAGAUAGAGGAGUCUCGGCUGGUUUCCGUCCAAUUGGAGGAGGAGGUGAUCGGCUGCGUCAGGAGGCGUCUGAUUGGUCAAAACAGAGUCGAGCUCCUCCGAGUCGAGCUGGAUAAAGAGAGAAAAGCCGAGGAUGGAGGAAGUCCAGGAGAAUAACGAAAGCACCAGGAAGAGU